AGUCGAACGAUGAUCUCCAGCUUGCUGGGGGGAUUAGUGGCGAACGGGUGAGUAACACGUGAGUAACCUGCCCUUGACUCCGGGAUAAGCCUGAGAAAUUGGGUCUAAUACUGGAUACGACCUUCCCGCGCAUGCGGUGUUGGUGGAAAGCUUUUGUGGUUUUGGAUGGACUCGCGGCCUAUCAGCUUGUUGGUGGGGUAAUGGCUUACCAAGGCGACGACGGGUAGCCGGCCUGAGAGGGUGACCGGCCACACUGGGACUGAGACACGGCCCAGACUCCUACGGGAGGCAGCAGUGGGGAAUAUUGCACAAUGGGCGAAAGCCUGAUGCAGCGACGCCGCGUGAGGGAUGAAGGCCUUCGGGUUGUAAACCUCUUUCAGUAGGGAAGAAGCUGGCCCUUUUGGGUUGGUGACGGUACCUGCAGAAGAAGCGCCGGCUAACUACGUGCCAGCAGCCGCGGUAAU
rnacentral:rRNA from 1 species